UACAUUCUGUCAAAAAGGUCACAUGUUUUAAAUUUGACAGAAUGUAAACAACAAUGGCGGCCAAAACAAGCUGCGCGUCAUGAAGUUUCAUGCUGCGCGUCAAGAAGCUGGACACUUUGCGUCAAGAAGUUGGGUGCUUUGCGUCAAGAAGUCGGCUGCUUUGCGUCAAGACGCUUGGUGUCGCGCGUCAUGAAGCUGUGAGUGAAAACCGACCCUAUGGCUGAAUGCACCUGUGACAUGUAUUUUUACGUAUAUACAUAUAUAUGUAUAUAUAAAUGCAUAUGUAACUUACAUUACCACCAAAAACUGGCGAAAAAACUGUUGACAUGUCUUCAACAAAAAAAAAAAAGAGUUUUCAGUUAUCAAAAAAAAUGGGAAAAAUAUGACUGGGCUAAAGGAUGGAUUACAUCAAUUGUGAAUGCUCCAGAAGAAUAUCAUAAAUUAUACUAUACUCAUCAAAAUGAAGCAUGGUGGAAAGCUUAAUGCAAAAUAUCUUUGCGUGCUCAUUGCACUGACUUCAGCAUGUCGUGUGCAUGGAGAAAAUAUUUUAGCAUGAACAUUAUCAAAGAAAAACACAAUUAUGAAUUUUGUUGCUCCAACAGUCACUGAUGAGAUGAAAAAGCUUGACAUAAAGUUGUCAGUAUUUACAGCUAACCAUAUGUCAAUGUCUGCAAUUGAUGAUCUCAGUGAAAUACUUAAAUUACAUGGUAAAGAUACUGUAUUUGAAAGUUUAGGUUUACACCAUACAAAAUGUUCAAGUAUAGUUUGAUAAUUGGUGAGCAAUACAUAAGCCAAAAAUUAUUUCAAUAAAAAUACAUUAUAUAUUUUAUUUUUAAGC